GCCCAGGAGUUCUCCAAACCCGCGCUGCGGAGUGAGUGACCAAGUUCUGGCCAGUUCGACCUCGAGGAUCCAGAGGUGGAGACGGUACUACCUCCCAGCUCUGGUUUCCAUCCCCUUCAGGUCCUUCCUCGGGAGGCGGGGAAGGAAGUCCACCCUGCGCGUGAUCCUUUAUGCCCGGCCCCUGCCCCUCCCUCCGGGUGGAGCUUCCCCCUCACCGCCAGACUUAAGCUGAGGACCGUUGGAUCUCUAGCGGGGUGCAGAACUGAGCCCAGGCCACACUACCCUAUUCACGCUCUGUGCUUGUGCCAAGGUAAAAGCAGCUGUUAAGUAUGCCCUUAGUGUAGGCUACCGCCACAUUGAUUGUGCUGCUAUCUACGGCAAUGAGCCUGAGAUUGGGGAGGCCCUGAAGGAGGACGUGGGACCAGGCAAGGCGGUGCCUCGGGAGGAGCUGUUUGUGACAUCCAAGCUGUGGAACACCAAGCACCACCCCGAGGAUGUGGAGCCUGCCCUCCAGAAGACUCUGGCUGACCUCCAGCUGGAGUAUCUGGACCUGUACCUGAUGCACUGGCCUUAUGCCUUUGAGUGAGCCUUGCCAGAGCCUCAUCUGGGGAAUCAGGGGGUUGAGCAGGAUGGUGUUAGUAACUUAUUGUAAGUCACAGCAGCAGAGCAGGAUAGGAACACUCAUUUGCAUGGCAAGCUGAGGAGCUUGAGGUGGGAUCUUAGCCUCUUCUGCUACAGCAGCUUAGCUGUAGCUACAGGAGUUUAACUCUAGAAA
rnacentral:sRNA from 1 species